AACGCACAUUGCGCUCUCUGGUAUUCCGGAGAGCAUGCUUGUUUGAGUAUCAGUAAAACACCCUCAACCUUUUCUUUAUUGAAAAGGUUGGACUUGAGUGAUCCCAACGGUUUUUUUUUAAAAAGGCUGGCGGGUUGCUUGAAAUGCAGGUGCGGCUGGACACAUCUUCUGAGCUAUAAGCAUUACCUAUUUAGUCCCGUCAAACGGAUUAUUUCUAUUGCUACAGCUAAUAUAAAGGUUGAUUGUCCUGUGCCCGACUGAUGCAGGAAAACAUGGAGAAAUCCUUGUUCAACUCGAUCUCAAAUCAAGUAAGACUACCCGCUGAACUUAA
rnacentral:misc_RNA from 1 species